rnacentral:rRNA from 1 species
UACGGGGGGGGCAAGCGUUGUUCGGAAUUACUGGGCGUAAAGGGCUUGUAGGCGGCCAACUAAGUCAGACGUGAAAUCCCUCGGCUUAACCGGGGAACUGCGUCUGAUACUGGAUGGCUUGAGAUUGGGAGAGGGAUGCGGAAUUCCAGGUGUAGCGGUGAAAUGCGUAGAUAUCAGGAGGAACACCGAUGGCGAAGGCAGGUCGCUGGGCCACUACGGACGCUGAGAAGCGAAAGCAUGGGGAGCGAACAGG